GGUGAUGUGUUCAAACGGCAGAGCCUCGAACUGCCUCUGGCUGUUCAGGGGUCGAUGAAGCUUUAUACACAGUUAUUCUUUCUAUUUUUAGAAAAAGACAAAACAGAAAGAAGUCGGCAGAUAAGGGACCAGAACAAUCCGUCCCGGACACUGGAUAUACAUCUAUAACUCAUCGUCCAGAGGAGACUCCCCACGUCUAUGAAAUGGUGGUCACCCAAUAGACAAGCAGAAUUCAUCAAAUUCAUCAAAUGAAUUCCAAUCAUUUAAUAUCGCUAGUGUACAGCUUAUCAAUUGCUAAUAAUGAUUGCAUUUUAAACAAAAGAUACCCGAAGGCACUUUAAUCAUUUCAACAUACUCCAUAUUGAAAGGCAUGAUAUGGGUUUCCAAAACUUGAUAGACAUAUUUAUUAUUGACAUCUGUUCCAUUCACUUGUGUUUAUCCUAUUAUUGUGUAAUUGAUAUAAAGAUAGUGUUCGGCCUUAAAAAAGCGAAGCUAAUAGUAGCAAGACAAUUAUGUUAUAAAAAAGUUUUUAUUCUUAUUGUUUUCCAUGUGAAUAUAAUUACCCUGUCACUGAUAUAAAACAUUUUAUAUGUCUAUAAUUGAUUUCUUGCAUUUCUACGUGUGCACAUAUGAGAGUUAAGGGGGGAGGGUGUUAGGUCAUAUUGGCUCUGUAUGAAUUAAUCAGAUGUAGAUUUUUUUAAACAGGAAAAGUCUUAAAAUAUUAUAAUAUUUUACGCACAUUAAGUUAGAAAGUUGAUGAAUAACCUUCGAUAUUGUAUAGUGUUUGUUUUAUAAUAUCAUUGUACAAUCAAUAUCGAUACAUAGCGGUUCAAGCGUGACUUUCCUUUUUUGUGUAUGAAAGAGUCUUUUAAAGUUUUGGUUGCAUGUAUGUAAGCGAUUUUAUUCUGCUUCCAUAUAGUGUGUGUGUACAUGCUGUAAUAUUUUCACAGCUAGCAUGUUUAUGUAUAACCGUUUGUCAAUUUUUAGGUAAUAUAUUAUCCACCUGAGGGAAAAAUACAGAUGGCGUUUGUUUAUGUUUUUUUUCUGUUUUAUAAGGUUAUUACAAAUAAUAUCCAUACAUAGCGAUCCAUGCGUGACCUUUCAAUUUUUGUGUGCGAGAUGUAACAAGAUUUUCUUUGAUGUAUGUUAAGAUAAUAGAUUAUGAUUUAGAUAAUGUAUAGUAUUAUUUUUGCAUAUUGAUGAUUAGAUGAUUAGAGCCACGGACAGUGGCCGGGUGAAAUGUUUUCUGUCAUCCUCAAAUUGUAUUUACAUGUUAUAUUUUUAUGUUUAUAUGUACACAGUAGAAUAUUUACACUUAUGUAUCGACACAUACGGCCUUUAGCAUCAUUGACGAGUCCUACAGUAACGAAACAGCUGUAUGAUGCAUUUUAAUAAAUUGAUAACUCUACGUGGUCUAACUCUAUAUUUGUACUGAUAUAGAAAUGUAGGUGUUACCGUUUUGUUCAUAUUGUGUACCUGUUGUUUUUAUUAUUGAUGCAAAUGUUUCAGACUCGGACAUAUACAUGUAUUCUUGUAGACUGAUAUUUUAAUAUAUUGUUGCUUACUUAACACUUAUUGAAUGCCUCUGACGCGAGAAGUUGAAAAUAAAUGUGAUUGUAAUUUAAUAAAGGAUCCUAAUGUUUUUCGUUACAUAUAUCAUAACAGGUAAACCUCGCAAAAAUCGACUGAAUCAUCAACACGUUUAAUAGUAUGCUUUGCGUGGUUGUGAAACUUCUUUUUAAUAUAAAUAUUUUAUUUCCUCUUCAGCCUCUCUACUUACCCAAUGUAACAUAAUGUAUAUCUUAAAUGUUUGAUGAACGAUGUUCUGUAUGAUAUUUUUGUUGGAUUAAGACAACAAUCAUAAUUUUU